ensembl:snRNA U6 U6 spliceosomal RNA
GCUUGCUUCUCCAGCAUAUAUACUAAAUAGAAUGAUGCAGAAAAGCUUACCACGGCCACCGUGCAAGGAUGGCAUGCAACUAGUGAAGAAUUCCACUUUAAU